rnacentral:rRNA from 1 species
UACGUAGGGGGCAAGCGUUGUCCGGAAUCAUUGGGCGUAAAGCGCGUGUAGGCGGCCCGAUAAGUCCGCUGUGAAAGCCCAGGGCUCAACCCUGGGAUGCCGGUGGAUACUGUCGGGCUCGAGUCCGGAAGAGGCGAGUGGAAUUCCUGGUGUAGCGGUGAAAUGCGCAGAUAUCAGGAGGAACACCAAUGGCGAAGGCGAAUCCCUGGAAAAUACCUGACACUGAGGCACGAAAGCUAGGGGAGCAAACAGG